UACAGUCUGAUUUCAGGACUCUA
rnacentral:siRNA from 1 species